rfam:Euryarchaeota archaeon TMED192 42397, whole genome shotgun sequence.
AACUGGGCUAGGGGGAGUGCUGGCGUGCUCUGUAUCACAAAUCGUCGAUAUGGUGACCCGAAGUCUGAGGGCGGCGGAGACGAUUUACGGAUGUAUCAUCGGUUGACUAAGAUGCCUCGCCCCCGAGAGAUCGAGGUUUGUGGAGGUCGAUUCCGGAGGGAAUCGAUGACCACACUGCCCGGGAAUCAGGUCAGGCGCGGAAGCGAGCAGCCCGACCGGGGACUCUGGAUGCCUCGGGACAGCGGGGCGGAGGAGAUCGAUGAAUUUGCAGACGUGAAAACGACCGUCCACCGAUGACGCGCCCACCA